ACGAACGCUGGCGGCGUGCUUAACACAUGCAAGUCGAGCGGUAAGGCCUUUCGGGGUACGACGAGCGGCGAACGGGUGAGUAACACGUGGGUGACCUGCCCUCAGCUCUGGGAUAAGCCCGGGAAACUGGGUCUAAUACCGGAUAUGACUCCAUGACGCAUGUUGUGGGGUGGAAAGCCUUGUGCGGCUGAGGAUGGGCCCGCGGCCUAUCAGCUUGUUGGUGGGGUGAUGGCCUACCAAGGCGACGACGGGUAGCCGGCCUGAGAGGGCGACCGGCCACACUGGGACUGAGACACGGCCCAGACUCCUACGGGAGGCAGCAGUGGGGAAUCUUGCGCAAUGGGCGAAAGCCUGACGCAGCGACGCCGCGUGAGGGAUGACGGCCUGUGUAAC
rnacentral:rRNA from 1 species